rnacentral:tRNA from 1 species
UGCGGGGCGCCAGCGGUUGGCACCGCGGUCUCAUACGCCGCAGGGCGAGGGUUCAAUUCCCUCCUCCGCAA